GUGAGUCAUCGAGUCUUUGAACGCACAUUGCGCCCGCCAGCACUCUGGCGGGCAUGCCUGUUCGAGCGUCAUUUCAACCCUCAAGCCCCCCCAGGGGGCCUGGUGUUGGGGACCGGCCCCGCCCCGUCGCGGUCGCCGCCCCCUAAAACUACAGUGGCGGUCCUGCCGCAGCCUCCUCUGCGUAGUAGCUUAUGAAACCUCGCACCGGAGCGCGGCUCGGCCACGCCGUUAAACCCCAACUUCUGAAAGUUUGACCUCGGAUCAGGUAGGAAUACCCGCUGAACUUAAGCAUAUCAAUAAGCGGAGG
rnacentral:rRNA from 1 species